CACGUAGGGCGCAAGCGUUGUCCGGAAUUAUUGGGCGUAAAGAGCUCGUAGGCGGUCUGUUGCGUCCGCUGUGAAAACUCGGGGCUUAACCCCGAGCCUGCAGUGGAUACGGGCAGACUAGAGUGAUGUAGGGGAGACUGGAAUUCCUGGUGUAGCGGUGAAAUGCGCAGAUAUCAGGAGGAACACCGAUGGCGAAGGCAGGUCCCUGGGCAUUAACUGACGCUGAGGAGCGAAAGCAUGGGGAGCGAACAGG
rnacentral:rRNA from 1 species